AGUGGCUCUCGGAGUGACUCCCCUGCUACUGCGGGCUCCACUCUCCUGGAUCCAUCUGUGGAAUGCAUGUUCGACCCGGAUGAUCUCCAUCACCCGAGGUCAGCUGAAUGGCUCCCAGAGGACCAUGUGGCACGUUACCUAGAAAACUGGGUACGGCGCCCCCUCAGUAAGGCGGCCCGGAGUAAGUUCAGGGCUGAAUGCCCCUUUGGUGCCAAACAAAGUGUGUGAG